CACAAAGCCAAGAGUUCUACCCCCCAGCAACAUGGAAACCUGUGAUCCUAGUACUUAGGAGGGUUUUGAAGGAAAGAAAGGUCAAUGGCAGACAUGGCUUUCAGAUUGGCCAGCCCUGACCCAGAAUCCCAAACCUAAGUGGCUCUACUGCUUUGAAGAAGACACGUAACCUCCCUAGCCUUGGUUGGGAAAGAACUGACCUUCCCCAAAUGAGAAAGGGUGGAUACACCAGAGAAUGGGCAAGCCAAUCCAGUGUGAGAGCCUAGCUGAGUCCUGGGACAAGGACGAAGUGGGAGAACCAGGAAGCUGAGUGUUCUGUCUAAGCCAUUUUCCUCAGGCUAGGAGCUGCACCAUGGUAACAUAAGCAGUGGACAUCAGGGGAACAACAUGCAUCCACUUUAUAUAUCAUGCUGAAAUCUUUCUGGAAUAUUAAAAUUAUUUC